CCCAAGUACUGAUCGCGCCCAAUGCUGCUUAACUGCGGUGAUCAAACGAAAACUGGUGUUUUCAGCAUGGUAUGACCGU